rnacentral:lncRNA from 1 species
GACCAAGUGUGGACCCAGCAUAUGGACAGCAUCUCAGAUGGUGAAACAGUAAGGAUACCACAGAAGCUCUGGGGCCGACGCAGCCCAGCAUGCCUGCCUUCGCCCAUGACCGUCAGCCCCCUCAGAACUUGCAGGAACCACGGUGCUGGACACACUCUGGCUCCCUACCAUGCACCCUCAGUGCUAGCGAGACAUGAGCACCAUCCGCCCUUGUCCUACCAAGGGAAACUCACUGGAAUUGCUGCCCAGGGCCCCACUUUGCUGCUCUGGAACUGGCCACACUCACUGAGACCCUAGUGGUACCCAGCCUGCCCUGUGCCCUGACUGCAGGAUACAGCCUGGCCUCCCUCCCUGAGCCCACACAAACAGGACAGGGACAAGACAAAGACACGGCUCUGUAGGGUUACCUGGUGCCGGGGGCAGCCCAUGCAGAGCACCGGCUACCAUCCUCAGUCUCUGAGGCACGGGCACCAG